GAUGAACGCUGGCGGCGUGCCUAAUACAUGCAAGUCGAGCGAACGGACGAGAAGCUUGCUUCUCUGAUGUUAGCGGCGGACGGGUGAGUAACACGUGGAUAACCUACCUAUAAGACUGGGAUAACUUCGGGAAACCGGAGCUAAUACCGGAUGAUAUUUUGAACCGCAUGGUUCAAAAGUGAAAGACGGUCUUGCUGUCACUUAUAGAUGGAUCCGCGCUGCAUUAGCUAGUUGGUAAGGUAACGGCUUACCAAGGCAACGAUGCAUAGCCGACCUGAGAGAGUGAUCGGCCACACUGGAACUGAGACACAGUCCAGACUCCUACGGGAGGCAGCAGUAGGGAAUCUUCCGCAAUGGGCGAAAGCCUGACGGAGCAACGCCGCGUGAGUGAUGAAGGUCUUCGGAUCGUAAAACUCUGUUAUUAGGGAAGAACAUAUGUGUAAGUAACUGUGCACAUCUUGACGGUACCUAAUCAGAAAGCCACGGCUAACUACGUG
rnacentral:rRNA from 1 species